rnacentral:rRNA from 1 species
GAUGAACGCUGGCGGCGUGCCUAAUACAUGCAAGUCGAGCGAACGGACGAGAAGCUUGCUUCUCUGAUGUUAGCGGCGGACGGGUGAGUAACACGUGGACAACCUACCUAUAAGACUGGGAUAACUUCGGGAAACCGGAGCUAAUACCGGAUGAUAUUUUGAACCGCAUGGUUCAAAAGUGAAAGACGGUCUUGCUGUCACUUAUAGAUGGAUCCGCGCUGCAUUAGCUAGUUGGUAAGGUAACGGCUUACCAAGGCAACGAUGCAUAGCCGACCUGAGAGGGUGAUCGGCCACACUGGAACUGAGACACGGUCCAGACUCCUACGGGAGGCAGCAGUAGGGAAUCUUCCGCAAUGGGCGAAAGCCUGACGGAGCAACGCCGCGUGAGUGAUGAAGGUCUUCGGAUCGUAAAACUCUGUUAUUAGGGAAGAACAUAUGUGUAAGUAACUGUGCACAUCUUGACGGUACCUAAUCAGAAAGCCACGGCUAACUACGUG